CCCUAGUAACGGCGAGUGAAGCGGGAACAGCUCAAAUUUGAAAUCUGGCCCUUGGGUCCGAGUUGUAAUUUGCAGAGGAUGCUUUUGGUGCGGUGCCUUCCGAGUUCCCUGGAACGGGACGCCUUAGAGGGUGAGAGCCCCGUACGGUUGGACACCAAGCCUAUGUAAAGCUCCUUCGACGAGUCGAGUAGUUUGGGAAUGCUGCUCAAAAUGGGAGGUAUAUUUCUUCUAAAGCUAAAUAUUGGCCAGAGACCGAUAGCGCACAAGUAGAGUGAUCGAAAGAUGAAAAGCACUUUGAAAAGAGGGUUAAAUAGCACGUGAAAUUGUUGAAAGGGAAGGAUUUAUGACCAGACUUUUUCUAGGGGGAUCAUCCGGUGUUCUCACCGGUGCACUUCCCCUAGUUGAGGCCAGCAUCGGUUUCUGUCGGGGGAUAAAAGCUUUAGGAAUGUGGCUCCCUCCGGGGAGUGUUAUAGCCUGUUGCAUAAUACCCUGACGGGGACCGAGGUUCGCGCAUUGCAAGGAUGCUGGCGUAAUGGUUAUUAAUCACCCGUCUUGAAACACGGACCAAGGAGUCGAACAUUUGUGCGAGUGUUUGGGUGUUAAACCCUCACGCGUAAUGAAAGUGAACGGAGGUGAGAGCCUUUCGGGGUGCAUCAUCGACCGAUCCUGAUGUCUUCGGAUGGAUUUGAGUAAGAGCAUUAAUGUUCGGACCCGAAAGAUGGUGAACUAUGCGUGGAUAGGGUGAAGCCAGAGGAAACUCUGGUGGAGGCUCGCAGCGGUUCUGACGUGCAAAUCGAUCGUCAAAUCUGCGCAUGGGGGCGAAAGACUAAUCGAACC
rnacentral:rRNA from 2 species